CCUACGGGGGGCAGCAGUGGGGAAUAUUGCACAAUGGGCGCAAGCCUGAUGCAGCCAUGCCGCGUGUGUGAAGAAGGCCUUCGAGUUGUAAAGCACUUUCAGCGGGGAGGAAGGCGGUGAGGUUAAUAACCUCAUCGAUUGACGUUACCCGCAGAAGAAGCACCGGCUAACUCCGUGCCAGCAGCCGCGGUAAUACGGAGGGUGCAAGCGUUAAUCGGAAUUACUGGGCGUAAAGCGCACGCAGGCGGUCUGUCAAGUCGGAUGUGAAAUCCCCGGGCUCAACCUGGGAACUGCAUUCGAAACUGGCAGGCUAGAGUCUUGUAGAGGGGGGUAGAAUUCCAGGUGUAGCGGUGAAAUGCGUAGAGAUCUGGAGGAAUACCGGUGGCGAAGGCGGCCCCCUGGACAAAGACUGACGCUCAGGUGCGAAAGCGUGGGGAGCAAACAGGAUUAGAUACCCGGGUAGUC
rnacentral:rRNA from 1 species